rnacentral:rRNA from 1 species
UACGUAGGGUGCAAGCGUUGUCCGGAAUUACUGGGCGUGAAGAGUUCGUAGGCGGUUUGUCGCGUCGUUUGUGAAAACCAGCAGCUCAACUGCUGGCUUGCAGGCGAUACGGGCAGACUUGAGUACUGCAGGGGAGACUGGAAUUCCUGGUGUAGCGGUGAAAUGCGCAGAUAUCAGGAGGAACACCGGUGGCGAAGGCGGUUCUCUGGGCAUUACCUGACGCUGAGGAGCGAAAGUGUGGGGAGCGAACAGG